GACGAAGGUGGCGACCGUUGUUCGGAAUCACUGGGCAUAAAGAGCACGUAGGCGGCGAGGUAUGUCGGGUGUGAAAUCCCUCGGCCCAACCGAGGAAUUGCGCCCGAAACUACCUUGCUUGAGGAUGGAAGGGGAGCGUGGAAUUCCUGGUGGAGCGGUGAAAUGCGUUGAUAUCAGGAGGAACACCGGCGGCGAAGGCGACGCUCUGGUCCAUUUCUGACGCUGAGGUGCGAAAGCCAGGGGAGCAAACGGG
rnacentral:rRNA from 1 species